GGAGAGAUGCAGGAGUGGUUGAACUGGCCGCUCUCGAAAAGCGGUAUGGAGCAAUCCAUCGAGGGUUCGAAUCCCUCUCUCUCCGCCA
rnacentral:tRNA from 1 species